rnacentral:rRNA from 1 species
UACGGAGGGUGCAAGCGUUAUCCGGAUUCACUGGGUUUAAAGGGUGCGUAGGCGGGUUGGUAAGUCCGUGGUGAAAUCCCCAAGCUUAACUUGGGAACUGCCGUGGAUACUAUCAAUCUUGAAUAUCGUGGAGGUAAGCGGAAUAUGUCAUGUAGCGGUGAAAUGCUUAGAUAUGACAUAGAACACCAAUUGCGUAGGCAGCUUACUACACGAUCAUUGACGCUGAGGCACGAAAGUGUGGGGAGCAAACAGG